rnacentral:tRNA from 1 species
GCGGGUGUAACUCAAUUGGCAGAGUGUCAGCCUUCCAAGCUGAAUGUUGCCGGUUCGACCCCGGUCACCCGCU